CCUAACACAUGCAAGUCGAACGAGACCUUCGGGUCUAGUGGCGCACGGGUGCGUAACGCGUGGGAAUCUGCCCUGGGGUGCGGAAUAACUCGGAGAAAUCCGUGCUAAUACCGCAUAAUGUCUUCGGACCAAAGAUUUAUUGCCCUGGGAUGAGCCCGCGUAGGAUUAGCUUGUUGGUGAGGUAAAGGCUCACCAAGGCGACGAUCCUUAGCUGGUCUGAGAGGAUGAUCAGCCACACUGGGACUGAGACACGGCCCAGACUCC
rnacentral:rRNA from 1 species